rnacentral:sRNA from 1 species
UUGACAGUGCUGGAGACCGAAGUCCACUGCUUAUCUAUACUCCAGGUAGUGGACAGGCAGCUGCAGGACCCUGAAGUGGCCUAUCAGUCCACUUUAGAGCCUAAUCUGGGAGACCCACCUGUGGGGGUGAAAGAGUGGUUCAGUCCCUGUGCUAAUUCAGUCCUUGGCUUCC